rnacentral:misc_RNA from 1 species
GAACGGUCGGCGGGCGAUCCGCGUCGGUCGUGCGAGGGUGGUAUGGUUCCCCCAGAGGCCGGUUCUUGUGCUGCCUACCCCUUCAGGGGAAUCGGGCCACUUGAUGUAAGCCUCCAUCCGGCGCCUUCCAACGGGCGCAGGAGGACAACAGGGCACCCCCCGCGUUCCACCGAUCCUCCUUGGUCGCGUGGCCCGCGGGGACGUGCGACGCUCUCGGACCCAGCGAACGCCGUGGGCGAGGACUCACGUCCCAGUCCCGAAAAGAAGCUCCGAUAUAAUGCAAGACGGCCGCUCCCGCCCCCCCGGGGGCGAGGCGCGGCGUCNCANANGAAUG